GACGAACGCUGGCGGCGUGCUUAACACAUGCAAGUCGAACGAUGAAACCUAGCUUGCUAGGUCGAUUAGUGGCGAACGGGUGAGUAACACGUGACUAACCUGCCCCUUUCUCUGGGAUAACGCUCCGAAAGGAGUGCUAAUACCGGAUACUCACACCGAGGCACAUGCCUUGGUGUGGAAAGUUUUUCGGAAAGGGAUGGAGUCGCGGCCUAUCAGCUUGUUGGUGAGGUAACGGCUCACCAAGGCGACGACGGGUAGCCGGCCUGAGAGGGGGACCGGCCCCACUGGGACUGAGACACGGCCCAGACUCCUACGGGAGGCAGCAGUGGGGAAUAUUGCACAAUGGGCGCAAGCCUGAUGCAACGACGCCGCGUGAGGGAUGAAGGUCUUCGGAUUGUAAACCUCUUUCAGUAGGGACGAAGCGAAAGUGACGGUACCUAAAGAAGAAGCACCGGCUAACUACGUGCCAGCCGCCGCAGUAA
rnacentral:rRNA from 1 species